rnacentral:rRNA from 1 species
GGGGAAUUUUGGACAAUGGGCGCAAGCCUGAUCCAGCAAUGCCGCGUGCAGGAUGAAGGCCUUCGGGUUGUAAACUGCUUUUGUACGGAACGAAAAGCCUCUCUCUAAUACAGGGGGGUGAUGACGGUACCGUAAGAAUAAGCACCGGCUAACUACGUGCCAGAAGCCGCGGUAAUACGUAGGGUGCAAGCGUUAAUCGGAAUUACUGGGCGUAAAGCGUGCGCAGGCGGUUUUGUAAGACAGUGGUGAAAUCCCCGGGCUCAACCUGGGAACUGCCAUUGUGACUGAAAGGCUGGAGUGCGGCAGAGGGUAGUGGAAUUCCCGGUGUAGCAGUGAAAUGCGUAGAGAUCGGGAGGAACAUCAGUGGCGAAGGCGACUGCCUGGGCCAACACUGACACUGAGGCACGAAAGCGUGGGGAGCAAACA